CCACCCUUCAGGCAGGUGCAGAGUCCAUGGCCUGGUGGCUGGGGUGGCCGGGAAGAGAGCGGACAGCCAUCUUCAGCAGAGAAAUACAUGCUGCCAACUGCUUCACCACCUGUGGCUGGUAGGCCACUGGUCAAUCUACUGGGAAUCAUUGAUGCUGAAGAUUGACGGUGUCCGGCCCCUGUGUGAAGGUAUCCUCAUCAGAACCCCGAGUCUCACUGGAUAUUUCAGCCUACAGGAUUGGAUCCUACGUGAACAGGCCCUCACCUGGUCAUCCUUUCAACACCAACAGCGAUAAAAGUCACCGGCCUGCCCUCCUGGCUCCACAUUACUUGAGCCAAACGGUGCCGAGAUGACACCCUUCCACCAGACAAUCCCACCCCUCUGGAGCGGUCUUCACAGCUCCUGUCACCUACGCACCUUUGCCUAA